UACGGAGGGUGCAAGCGUUGUUCGGCGUUACUGGGCGUAAAGGGGGCGUCGGCGGUUUGUUAAGUCAAAUGUGAAAGUCCACGGCUUAACUGUGGAAGUGCAUUUGAGACUGUCAGGCUAGAGUUUCGGAAGGGAAAGUGGAAUUCCUGGUGUAGGAGUGAAAUCCGUAGAUAUCAGGAGGAAUACCGGUGGCGAAGGCGCCUUUCUGGACGAAUACUGACGCUGAGGCCCGAAAGCGUGGGGAGCAAACAGG
rnacentral:rRNA from 1 species